UUUGUACUGUUUAUAAGGCGUCAUCCUGUAGGUAAGCAUGGCACCAUUGCCGUAGAUAUCAAAUUUGCCCUCUAUUGUUUCUUCUUCCGAUUUCAGAUCUCUCCUUUUCCAUUUUCUCUAUCGUUCUUCCUUCUGCCCAUUUUAAAUCCAACAAUAGAUAGCAAAAUCACAGAGUAUUUUCACCAUUUGUUCUGCUUUAGGAUUCUUUUGUCAGACUAUAUUUCCUGCUGAGAACACUUCUUCUUUAGUCUUCAUUUCUUUCCACGACGAGAACCCUAUCUCUGAAAAUUCAAUCGAUGCUGCCGUGUUCGCUUCUUCCUCUCUGAAAAUGCAAAUGAAACUUCUUUUUUCCUUUCUCUCUAAUGUGGAUUUGACUUUCCGCAGGGGCAAUUUUAUUUCCUCUACUUCUUCAUUUCUUCCCACGACCAGAACCCUGAAAAUUUAAUCGACGCUCUCAUUUUCGCUUAUUUUUCUCUAAAAAUCCAAAUAACUCUAUUUUCAGAUGUCAUGGAUCAAAAGCUUGGAUAACUUUCGAGAAAAUGCCACAUUUUGUAGCUUGUGAUGGAGCUAUAGUGGUGAUCAUAAAAUUGGAUACGAAUUGGAGAGAAUUGAAGGAGAGUGACAUGGAAACGAGGCUUGGAAAAUGAACAAAUUAAGCGAAUGGGCAGUUCCAUGGUCACCUGGGCGCCCAAGAAAAAGAAUGAAGGCCAGCUCAUGGGCGCUGCGGUGCCCAGCAUAAGAAAAUGAAGUAGAAGCAGAGGACCCAAUUGCGACGCGACUCCGCCUCUCGAAGUGAAGAAUUUCAAAACUUUUGGGAACUUUUCGACCUGGCCCAACUAUAAUCCGCCUUGAAAACCCAAAAGACUAUAAAUAUGUACGAAAAGACCUAGCAAAAGAGAUUGGUUUUCUGAGAAUUAUUCUUGACAGUUGAAGAGAUUGCAAAGAGAAAAAUUAUCAAGAGGCAAAGAGGAAAAAUUCAAUUGCGAGAAGAUUGACGACCAUCAAGGAAAGAACUCACGCGGCUUAAACUAGUUUUUCUUAUCCCUUUAUUCUUCUUUCCCAUGUUCUUUAUUUUGUAUUUUGGCAUGUCAAUCGAUUCAAGUAUGAAAUAAAUUCUUAGAUCUAGGGUUGAUAUAACCUAUUUGAGACACGAUUUGAUUUCAUUACAGUUAUUUCCUUUAACGUUUUCAGAAUUUA